rnacentral:rRNA from 1 species
CAGUCGCCGCGGGAAUACGAAGGGGGCUAGCGUUGUUCGGAUUUACUGGGCGUAAAGGGCGCGUAGGCGGACUGAUAAGUCAGGGGUGAAAUCCCAAGGCUCAACCUUGGAACUGCCUUUGAUACUGUUUGUCUUGAGUUCGAGAGAGGUAAGUGGAACUGCGAGUGUAGAGGUGAAAUUCGUAGAUAUUCGCAAGAACACCAGUGGCGUAGGCGGCUUACUGGCUCGAAACUGACGCUGAGGCGCGAAAGCGUGGGGAGCAAACAGGAUUAGAUACCCCAGUAGUCCCUGUCUCUUAUAC